rnacentral:rRNA from 1 species
GACGAACGCUGGCGGCGUGCUUAACACAUGCAAGUCGAACGGAGAGGCCCUUCGUGGUGCUCGAGUGGCGAACGGGUGGGUAACACGUGGGUGAUUUGCCCUGCUCUUUGGGGUAAGCCUGGGGAACUGGGUCUUAUACCGUAUAGGGCCACGCGUUUCCUGGUGUGUGGUGGAAAGCGUUUGCGGUGUGGGUUGGGGUCGCGGCCUCUUGGCUUGUUGGUGGGGUAUUGGCAUUUCAAGGCGACGACGGGCAGCCGGCCUGAGAGGGUGACAGGCCACGCUGCGACUGAGAUACGACCCAGACUCCAACCGGAGGGGACGGUGGGGAAUAGUGCACAAUGGGCUGGAGCCUGCUGCAGCCAAGCCGCGUCAGGGAUGACGGCCUUCGGUUUGUAAACCUAUUUCAUUAGAGACGGAGCGCAAAUGACGGUACCUGUAGAAGAAGCACCGGCCAACUCCGUG